ACCGAAUUGUCAACACGAGUUGUUGCUGGUCCCCAAACCGGGGGCAUGUGCACACUCUGUUUACACAUCCACCCACACCUGUGCACCCUCUGUAGUUCUGUGGCCUGGGCGACUUUGUCCCCUCGCUGUGGUUCUACAUCUUUACACACACACUGCCAUAAAGUCUCAUGGAAUGUUUGCCGCGUUUAACGCAAUACAAUACAACUUUCAGCAACGGAUCUCUUGGCUCUCGCAUCGAUGAAGAACGCAGCGAAAUGCGAUAAGUAAUGUGAAUUGCAGAAUUCAGUGAAUCAUCGAAUCUUUGAACGCACCUUGCGCCCUUUGGCUAUUCUGAAGGGCAUGCCUGUUUGAGUAUCAUGAACACCUCAACUCCUCAUGGUUUGCCAUGAGGAGCUUGGACUUU
rnacentral:misc_RNA from 1 species